rnacentral:snoRNA from 1 species
UAUUUAUUUAUUUGUAGAAAUAAAAAUUUCACAUUUAACCAUAAAGAAAAAUUCCCAUUAGGUUUUCCAUAUGCUACUUCACUAGCAGUUAACCUGUUGGGAACAUUU